GGAGAGGUGGCAGAGUGGUUGAAUGCGGCGGUCUCGAAAACCGUUGUGGGGGCAACUCCACCGGGGGUUCGAAUCCCCCCCUCUCCGCCA
rnacentral:tRNA from 1 species